CCUACGGGAGGCAGCAGUGGGGGAUAUUGCACAAUGGGGGAAACCCUGAUGCAGCGACGCCGCGUGGGCGAAGAAGUAUUUCGGUAUGUAAAGCCCUAUCAGCAGGGAAGUAGAAAUGACGGUACCUGAGUAAGAAGCACCGGCUAAAUACGUGCCAGCAGCCGCGGUAAUACGUAUGGUGCAAGCGUUAUCCGGAUUUACUGGGUGUAAAGGGAGCGCAGGCGGCACGGCAAGCCUGAUGUGAAAGCCCGCGGCCCAACCGCGGGACUGCAUUGGGAACUACCGGUCUGGAGUGCCGGAGAGGUAGGCGGAAUUCCUAGUGUAGCGGUGAAAUGCGUAGAUAUCAGGAGGAACCCCAGUGGCGAAGGCGGCUUACUGGACGGUGACUGACGCUGAGGCUCGAAAGCGUGGGGAGCAAACAGGAUUAGAUACCCGUGUAGUC
rnacentral:rRNA from 1 species